GGAAGGAGAAUCAGAUGAAGCGAUUGCGAUCCCGCCACCGCCAACGGGUGAACAUCUGCAGCCGCCCCCAUCGACAUCUUCUUCAGCGGUUCAACCAUUCCAAACGACCGCAGCCGCCAAACCAGCCCAACUACCUCCACCGACCUCACCGGCCUCAACAGCCACACCGGCCUCACAGGCAGCAUCGGCCACACCAGCCAUACCGGCUACACUAGCUCCACCGGUCGGUAUGG